rnacentral:rRNA from 1 species
GCGCGAAACCUCCUCAAUGCACUCACGUGCGAAGGGGUUACCUCGAGUGCCAUCUGAAGAAGGUGGCUUUUCUUUGGUCUAAAUAGCCUUGGGAAUAAGAGGGGGGCAAGACUGGUGUCAGCCGCCGCGGUAACACCAGCCCCUCGAGUGGUGGGGAUGAUUAUUUGGCCUAAAGCGUCCGUAGCCGGCCGAGUAAGUUUCCCGUCAAAUCCAGCGUCUCAAGCGUUGGACUGCGGGAAAUACUGCCCGGCUAGAGAGUGGGAGAGGUAAGCGGUAUUCUGGGGGUAGGGGCGAAAUCCUUUGAUCCCCGGAGGACCACCAGUGGCGAAGGCUGCUUACUAGAACACGUCUGACGGUCAGGGACGAAAGCUGGGGUAGCGAACCGGAUUAGAUACCCGGGUAGUCCCAGCUGUAAACGAUGCACGCUAGGUGUUGGGUCGGCCACGUGCCGCCCCAGUGCCGCAGGGAAGCCGUUAAGCGUGCCGCCUGGGGAGUACGGCCGCAAGGCUGAAACUUGAGGAAUUGGCGGGGAGCACCGACCGA